AGUGAACGCUGGCGGUAGGCCUAACACAUGCAAGUCGAACGGCAGCACAGUAAGAGCUUGCUCUUACGGGUGGCGAGUGGCGGACGGGUGAGGAAUACAUCGGAAUCUACUUUUUCGUGGGGGAUAACGUAGGGAAACUUACGCUAAUACCGCAUACGACCUACGGGUGAAAGCAGGGGAUCUUCGUACCUUGCGCGAUUGAAUGAGCCGAUGUCGGAUUAGCUAGUUGGCGGGGUAAAGGCCCACCAAGGCGACGAUCCGUAGCUGGUCUGAGAGGAUGAUCAGCCACACUGGAACUGAGACACGGUCCAGACUCCUACGGGAGGCAGCAGUGGGGAAUAUUGGACAAUGGGCGCAAGCCUGAUCCAGCCAUCCCGCGUGGGUGAAGAAGGCCUUCGGGUUGUAAAGCCCUUUUGUUGGGAAAGAAAAGCAGCAGGUUAAUACCCCGCUGUUCUGACGGUACCCAAAGAAUAAGCACCGGCUAACUUCGUG
rnacentral:rRNA from 1 species